GUUUCAACAAUACUUUAAAAACCCUAGGCAUUCAAUUCUCACUUUGAUCAGAUGGAGCAGGUUGAUCAAAUCAAAUCCAGAUGUGUUAUAUCCCUCAUUUUCGCAUAUUCAGAAAAUUUGAAAUAAUUGUGACUCGUAAGAAAUGAGGCCAUAAGUUGAUUUUUUUUUAAUAUAUUUGUGUUGACCAUGAAAUGUUGAUGUGGAAAUAUCGAGGAAGACUAAGGGCAAAAUGGGAAAUUUAAAAAAAAAUAGUUUCGGGAAUUACAAAAUAGAACCCAUAAUUAAUUGGGCUUGGAAAAAUGGAAAAAAAAAAAAGAAAAAGAAAGGGAGGCCCAAUUCAAGGUGUGGCCGGCCAAAUACAUGGCCCAAGUCCACAAAUAAUGAAACCUAUGUAUUAUAAGGCAAAGAGGGGCCAUUUUCUUCAUUAUACUAGAAGCUUCAACAAAACAAAAGGGGAGAAAAACCAACAAAGGCCCUCUCGGCCAAGCUAGAGAAAAAGAAAAAAAAAUUGCCCACAAAUAUUUGAUGCAAAAACUAAAUUCCUCUUGAAUUACUAUUAAGUUGGAAACCCUCUUCAAGGUGAUACAAAUUUGGAAGCAAAAGAGUACUUUUUUUACAAAGAGGAGAAAUUUGGAAAAAGAUAUUGGAGAGCUCGAGAUUUGAGACGGGAUUUGUUGGCGAGUGAUCGAAAUUUGGUAGUAAGCGAUCGAGGUACGGACGAUCGUUUUGGUGAUCCUCCAGUAUAGGACACAUAUUCUGCCACUCGGAUUACUUCUUUUGAUCUGGAGCUCAUACUUUUGGUACAUACCUUCUGUUAUAUACAUUCUAUAUAUAUGACUAUUUCGGUACGGCGGGGCCCUGUCCCGUCAUAUGUUCUGUCAUGUUUUGUAGAGGCCUGUAGUCAUAUUUGUGGGUCAUGGGUCAUGUUUGUUUGUUUGUGAUUAUGAUCUGCGUCUUAAUGCGGCCCCGUUUACUAUUAUGGCCAAAACGGCCCAUUUGUCUGUAUAUGCGUAUAUAUCUGGCGGUGUGUAUUCAGCCAAUCUAUUGGAUUUGGAUACGAUGUUUCUGUACGGGCGACCGCUUAAGAUGAUAUUUAUUUUCAGUAUUUGCUAAAAAUGACGUAUGUUCCGUUUGAAUGAAAUUUGAUGUGUCGAUCUGGUACGUAAGCCUGUUUGGGUGUCCAAAUAGGGCGCCAGUUGCGGCCUACGGGUUUGGGUCGUGACAAGAUAUAUGCGGAUCAAACGUGGAGCUUUUUCUUACGCAGCUGGUCGAGAUAGGGUGCCCAUGAAAGUCAAGCUCUCCGGCCAUGACUUAGAAGAUCACUCCACUCCAUGCUCAGCCACACAAAAGUGUUUACUUGCUUAUUUGCUUUUCUUUAAUUUUCCCGCGACAGGUCGGGCACACACCGGCACACACACAAAGGCAUUCCCGAAUAAGGGAUAUCGUUUUCCUCCUAUCGAGUCGAACUACAAGUGACUUGAUUCCCAAGAACAGGGAUAUGUAGGCGGACUCAAUACAAGAGAGUCAGUCAUACUCCAACGAAUCACUCUGUCAUACUCCAACGAAUCACUCUGGACUUCCUGAUUUUGAUAAUCGGGAAAACCAAAAUUUGCUUAAAUUUGCUUUUAAAAGUCUAAAAUGAGUCGAACUACAAGUGGCCUGAAUUCUCAUGUAGCCUGAGAUUUGCAGGAAACCCAGAAACCAUGGUCCGGCCACAUAUUUGAAAAUUGCAUAAAAAUGAGAGGUAAUAUGAUUUGGGUCAGUCAAAAAUCAGGGUUAGUCAAAUUUCGUUGCUCAUAGGUGGCCUUGCCAUCCCCGAACACCUAAAAGGCAGUUGUAGACACCUAAUUUUUAACCUCCUAUAAUUUAUUUUAAUAGCCCAGGGUCCUUGGAUGUCAAAUGGAGUGAAAUAUGUAUUUUCUUUUUCUUUCUUCUUUUUGCAAAUCAAAAUAAUUUUAUAAAAUUAUCUAGAUAAUAUUUUGCCAUUUCAUUUGGCAAAAUAAUUUCUAUAAUACUAUAAAUCAUUUAGAGAUUAAUUUACAUGUUUUUUGCAAUAAUUAAGAGACAUUUUCUAAAUUUAAUCAAGAAGAUAAUUUAAAAAAAUUAUUCAUUUAAUUGCUAAAAUUAUCAAAAAAUUUAUUAGCAAGAAUUUUACUCCGUUAAAUUCAAGAAAAACGAUUAGUUAAAUGAAGUAAUCAUUUUACCCCUCGAUUCUUAAUUUUGCACAUCCAAUUUGCAUUUGUGCAAUUAUCCUCGGAGUUAAUCAUAAUUAAUCAAGUGUUCAAUUAUGGUUAAUUUCAUAAAUUGUUUACUAUA